CAUGCCCACCUUUUGGCAUCUAAUUCCCCACUUUUGAGAGCCAAGUGAAGCAGCACUUGGGGGCUAGACCCACCCACUCCGGCAGCGUCGAAAGCUCAGCCUAAAGGUGCGCACUCCACGCCGUCCGCCCAUCAUGUCGCGACGAGACACGCCAUGGGAGAGAGCGCGAGAGGGGAAGAAUAGCGGCGACGUGACCAACAGCAGCGCCUACCGGCAGUGAAAAAGUCUCCCCUGGAUCGGGCGAUGGUGGGCACGGUUGCACAGCCACGGAAGGCUGUGUUGUGUAUAUAUAUGUAACUGGGUGCAUAUCUGGUCUCCAGAAAAGAAUUCCCGCCCGCCUUCGUCUUUCUUCCCUUCCUCGUGCCUCGCACGGGACCUUGACUGCUGACUCGCGCAUCUGGCUUCAUCACAUGGUGUGCCUUGGUGGCGGUGGUGCGAGCUUCUCUCUCGGUCUUGCCUUGGCCCUUCAGGCGGAUUGCUGCUACUCCCGCACGCUGCGAUGUUCGCCGGUGAUCGGUGUGUCGCUGUUCGGGGUGCUGUUGGGGUGUGGAGAUCUGACGCUGAUUUCUAGAUUGAGGGUGCUGCCGGAUGUCUACCGGAUGGCCAGUGUGAUUUUUCUUCAUGAAGGUGAUCCUGCGGGUCUGGAAGGCGAGCGUCCGCAGCAGAUGCCCCGAAUGCUGGCAAGCAGGUUAAAAAUUAUUAUGGUGGAAGCAACCAUUUUCAGCAAUGGGCAAGAUAGUUCGCCACUUUCAAAACGAAUAUUGACAUACUGAAAAUGUUUACAUGAUUCUCUAGCAAGUUCAACCUCAAGCAUCCGUUUAGAUUUCCGUUCCAUUUCUUUCUGUCUCACCGACUGAAGUUUGACAGGGCUAAACCUCUUAACCAUACGGUUGACCAUCGUUUCUGUGUUCCUUGAAUCUAGUCGGAGCGUUAUCAAAAAUGUAACGCUUGUGACAAUCGAAGGAGAGGCAACUUCGGAUGCUGCAAUUACCUUCACGCAGAUGGACGGUGCCUUACUAAGGGAGCAGUAUCCUGGUUGGGAGAUCUUUCGUUUUGGCCUACAUCAAAUGGUCCCAUUCAAGUGCUCAAUUCUAGCUGGAGAAUGUUGAUUCCUUAGAUUUGUUACUAUCACAACCUUCCAACCGUUCAGACCUUAUCUCCGAUGUUCUCUCGCGACACUAUCACCUGGUUAUCCUGAUACUUGGACGGAAAUCGAAGUUUCUCAACCGCCCAGACCCAUUGAGACGUUGUCUCAGUGUGCUUCAGUACUGAAAAGUUCUAAAUAUUCCUUAGAAAUAUGGGUCCUUGGAUUCGUGCAGGUCGGACAGUUCUGUUGAUGGCCGAGGAAGCUGUGGUCUCAGUAACGAUGGAUUGACUACAGUUCUUGGAUCUAGCUGCAUAUCAGACUAAUAGGGCCGGUGACUACAGUUACCGGCUGUACUACGAGAUUCUUCAGAGCUCGGCUGAGGAUGGUUUAUAAGUGUAGGCGCAUCCGAAUUCAUGUCACUUUUCGGACCAGAUAUUCCAGGACUCUACUAGGCCAGUGGAGACUAGAGACCAAAUUCGUUAUCUGUAUUGGUUUAGGAGCGUGUUCCAGUCAAGCCGAAUACUAGAGAGCAGAUUGGAUGUGAGCAUUUCUUAAGCUGAGUAUCUUACGUUUGUACUGAAGCAAACUGAACUUUGGAACAACAUCAAUUAUUACGUUGCCGAUUACUACGUGUACAUCAUGAAUGUGCUCCAGAGCUGGGCUGUUAUACGAGUUACAAGUUAUAGUGUGUCUGUUGGUUGACUGGCACCUCUAUUAUUUAGAUUCCAAGUUGUCGGUGAUUGUUGUUAACACUCUUCCGUGUUGUAGUGUGACCGAGGCAUAUCCGUAUCUACCAGUGGUCGUACUAGCCAGUAACAGUCGAGAUGCAUUAUUAGAUAGUUAAAAGUGUAGCAAGGUACUUAUGAUCUCCAAAAGGUACAGCUUGUGAUCUCGGGAAGGUACUUGCACGAUCAGGUUUGGGAUUUGAUGGUUGUCACAUUUUUCGUUAGUGGCACCAAAGUGAGCUGGCUCUUUUACUGAUUGCUUGCCAUGGAAUCUCUCCGCUUGUCAGAAAAAUUCCCAUGAUUUCUGUUCUGGAUGCACUGAAUCAACUUGGCGGUGGCGGAAGGCGGUGGCGAAGGUUUGCAAGUAUAAAUUAUGGGCCUCGAAACACAGGCUUUACUGAGUACUGCCGAGGCACUGAAUAAUACGACUUGGUUCUGCAACGAAUUUACUUUUGAAGCUCGAGCACUUCUUCGAUGUUUUUAUGAUGUUGAUCUUUUGUUCUCUUUCACAGUCGUGAUAUGCACGCCACGAUUGUCAUCUCUGUAAAGGUAGGAGGUUCAUGAGUCUAAUCUUUAAUAUGUAGUGUAGUACAAUACAUUGAACUGAUAUGCGGUAAUGAAGUGAAUGAGAACUGUCGGCACUUGUCAACGCGUUUGGCUGAGAAGACAUUUUCGGAUGUACAUCAAAGCUCUAAUGGAAGUUUAAUGCAGCAUUUAAAAAUUAAAAUAAAACAAAUUACUUCCUCCAAAUAGCCUUGUUUAGUAUCGCUAAUUCAUGUACUCAAUUCUUGUGUGCAGAUUGAGUUAAAUGUUGGCGUUUAGGUGUGACCACCAUUCUCAAUGCUAAUCUUAAUAGUACAGUAACUUUUUUCAAUUUCUAUGUGCGUUUGAUCGUCGUCUUCGUUGUUAAUGUCAUCAACAGUAAGCAUCAAACCUUAAAUUGAACGAUCUACAUGCGGCGUGCAUAGAAGUGAUGAGGGAACCAAUCAGAACCAAUACCAGAAUAAACAAUCCCAAAAUCCAAGAGUUUUCCUUGCUUAGAAUGCCUAGAUUGCAACUCACGGGAAGAGGGAUCACACUAGAUCUGUACUUUAUUGCUGUAUUACUUUCUUAGAAUCACAGACAAGUUGUUAUGAAACAAUUGAUUACUUCCUCGAGCUCUUAGUGUAACAUUUUAUUUCAUUAACGUGCUUGCCUACGCGAUUGGAGAUGCAUAAAACCGCAUCUGUCUCGAAGGUCAGCCCUGUCAUAAGUUCAAACUUCAUGAGAAACUUGACUCUACGGUGACAACAGAAUUGAUCAUGACAUUGGCACCACGACGAAAGAAUUCUCUCCAUUCAAAUGCCGAUUCACAGGAGGUGGCAGCGGUUCCUGCUCAAAACCCUGAUGGAAAUUGUAUGGCACGAUAAUAACUUGUGUGAUCCACCAUGUUUUUCACCAGGAUACCGGAUCAGAGAUGAACAGUCUCACACAGCUCGACACCUGGCUUCGUACACAACGUCUGGUGGAGUACUGUCUGUAAAUUGAUGCCAUACAUUGUUUCAGUAUCAAGUCAUAAGUAUCUAGGCGUGAGAUGAUAGUAUAUCUUUGUGAAGUCUUUUAUGUCUUGGUGCACGUACUUACAGGACAUAAAACAUGUGAUAUGGAGUCUAACUAUAACUGUGAGAGGAUGUGCAGGAAUCAUAUCUUGGUUAAAUCGCGGGCGUAGCUGAGGUGCUAGAGCAAUUCAGAAUUUGUGCCCAUUGACUGGCUAUUCUUGCGACCUUUAUGCUGACUGCACAUAAGUGGCUUCUCGACUUUAAAGAAUACGCCGCUGUAGAUGCUCUCCGCAUGCCUCUUUGUGCGUCCUUUUACACCAACGUAUUUAGCCACAUGAUAGUUAAUACUCCCAAAAUAAAAAAUUUCUAGUUUGUGGAUUCAGAAAUUCUCUGGUACGAUCCUUCAACAUUGCUAAAGUGUGAUUCAUCUAAUGUCCUUGAAUUGAAUGCUUCUUUCACCUGACUCCCGCCCUGGGCACUGCAAUUGUACUACACUCUGCUUCUUCCAAUUUGUUUACAACUUUUCAUGGUUUGUCUCUUCGCAGGAUUUUGUUAGUUUAUCUUUUUUGCUUAUCAACUCAAUCAUGCAAAUAUUGUCACUUCCUUUUCCUUGACAACUGUCGUCGUGUGCAUUGGUGAGAAUUUGUUACAAGGGAAUCGGCAACAAAAACCUCCCUCAGUGGUUCUCAUAGUGCGACCGAUAUAGUCGUUACAAAUUCCCAUUAAAGCUGCUGGGAAUUAUCAGUACUCGUUGUGUACCAGUUGACUUGGAGACGAAUCGCACUGAACCACACGGAACUGGCUCCUACAGGCUAUUGGCAACAUGCAGGUGUAAGUACUGGAGCUAUCUUGAAACAAAUUAUAAUACGGCAUGAAAUAAGUGAACAUAACUCAGAUCACUUAUUUCAUGCAGGGUCAAGUUGUUUUUUGUAGGUUCGUUCGAAAAGCUGUUCCAGUUGCCUUCACGAUUAGACGGCGCAACUGGAAUAUUACAUUUGGUUACUCAUUGUUACGUGGAUUUUCAUGUUUUGUCUAGCUUAUCAUCCAAAUUUAUUAUUAUUACAGCAAUGGUACCUGCCAGUUAUCAGUUGUAUGGUUCUUAAGAUCAUAACCCUCUAUGUACGUCUCUUGAUGUCAGCUGCGAAUAACGGACAGCAUGCUUCGACGACAGUUGUCGAUAGGUCUUGCAGUUUGAGUGGCUUUUGGGACAGGACCCCAAGUAAUGUUCGUCAUCCUGUCACCUCCUCAAAUGUCACUCACAGCAAUAGGCAAUGUUUAUACGAUAAUACAUAGAUAUAUACGUUUAUGUUGUAAAGCAUUUCAGCAUCAUAUCGACCUGUAGCCGUAGCAAGCAUGAAUCCCUUAGGUGUUAGGACAGUACAGAUCUGAGAAUCUGUGACGAUGUACUUUUAAGCCAGUGCAUUGGUUUGGAAUGAGUCCUCCGUUCUGACGAGACAAAGUCCGAUAAGCUUGUGGUCCAGUAUUCAGACCGAGAGCUUUCAGUGAUGGUUGAUCUGCUCCUCUCCGUGGAACCAGAGGGAUGGAAACAUCCUGGUACGAGUGGCUACAAUGAGCUCCUCCCACAGUGACAGCAGGGAGUGUCUCUUUUUCAGCUGCAUGGCACGCCAGGAUAUACAGCAUAAGCUGUAACACUCAUUGUACACUAAAAACAUGUCCGUCCCAACACCAGCAACCCAAGACAGGCAAUGCGCGCCAAGCAGUGUCCGUCCUGUGGUUAUUGCGUGCUAUCAUUAUUCCAUCGCAAACCCCAACGGAAUGAGUGUGCAACGGAAUGAAUGCUCACUCUCCAGUGUUCUCCGCCAAUCGGACCCCUCAAAGGUGCGAGCCAACUGGACCCUCUAUUCUCAGAGUCAUCGCGGUCGUCCCCCGGGUGGCAGUGCCUGGCUGGGAAUGUUUUGAGGUCUGGACACUUGAAAAAGCGUCCACUGAGUAUGCAGACUCGAUGUACUCAAUUGAAUCCUAGACUGGUGGUCUAGUGGUCAACAGGUUCGAAGUCUGGAUCCCACUUGCCUUCGAUGCGGCACUCCUUUCAUGCUGGUACUCGUAUAAAUCUGCGUACAUACUGUGUACACUCCACUGGCGGUGGUGGGUAGACAUAUAUGUAAAUAAAUAUAUUUUGUUUCUAUAGGUCCUUAGACUGCCACAUCGUUUGUUGAGAACGGACACUCGCUUUAGGUCCCAGUAUUCAGGAUAUCCGAGUUACGAAAGAUCUUUGACUCUUCCACAGACCUAAUUUAUUCUGUAAAGUAACUCUACAUAUCAUGGAGCAGCGCUUCGCAUCAGACCUUUCUCAAUAAAAAUGGAGGAAUCAGACUCGUAACCUUUGCAAAUUAUAGUGUCAGAAGUUAAAGUCUCCGACUUACUUCGACUAUCAGGUUUUUUAUGUAAAAAAAGAACAUUCAUCUGCAUUAUGUGGGUUUACAGCCAUUUCCUGAUAGAGUAAGUUUCUAUGGUUCAGAAUCUAUUCACAGCCAUGUGACGAGUUUACUCUUUUGGGGAAGUUAAGAAUGAGAGCGGAUCAGACAAGGAUGCUUUUCCCCCUUCAGUGAAGAUUUUUCGAUCGUCCCCUUUUUAUGUGGGUUUUGCAACUAAUAAACUUCCACGAAACGGGAAGAGAAUGAGAAUCUGUUUGACAGGUCGAAGA